rnacentral:rRNA from 1 species
CCUACGGGAGGCAGCAGUGAGGAAUAUUGGUCAAUGGGCGUAAGCCUGAACCGGCCAAGUCGCGUGAGGGAUGAAGGUUCUAUGGAUCGUAAACCUCUUUUAUAAGGGAAUAAAGUGUGGGACGUGUCCUGUUUUGUAUGUACCUUAUGAAUAAGGAUCGGCGAACUCCGUGCCAGCAGCCGCGGUAAUACGGAGGAUCCGAGCGUUAUCCGGAUUUAUUGGGUUUAAAGGGUGCGUAGGCGGCCUUUUAAGUCAGCGGUGAAAGUCUGUGGCUAAACCAUAGAAUUGCCGUUGAAACUGGGAGGCUUGAGUAUGUUUGAGGCAGGCGGAAUGCGUGGUGUAGCGGUGAAAUGCUUAGAUAUCACGCAGAACCCCGAUUGCGAAGGCAGCCUGCCAAGCCAUGACUGACGCUGAUGCACGAAAGCGUGGGGAUCAAACAGGAUUAGAUACCCCUGUAGUC